GUCCUUAUCGUCUAGUGGUCUAGGACCUUACCCUUUCACGGUAAUAACACGGGUUCAAAUCCCGUUAAGGAUA
rnacentral:tRNA from 1 species